rnacentral:rRNA from 1 species
AAUCGGAAUUACUGGGCGUAAAGCGCAUGCAGGCGGCCUGUUAAGUCAGAUGUGAAAGCCCGGGGCUUAACCUCGGAAUUGCAUUUGAAACUGGCAGGCUAGAGUCUUGUAGAGGGGGGUAGGAAUUUCAGGUGUAGCGGUGAAAUGCGUAGAGAUCUGAAGGAAUACCAGUGGCGAAGGCGGCCCCCUGGACAAAGACUGACGCUCAGAUGCGAAAGCGUGGGGAGCAAACAGGAUUAGAUACCCUGGUAG